CUGGGGUGGAUUAGUGGCGAACGGGUGAGUCAACACGUGAGUAACCUGCCCCCGACUCUGGGAUAAGCCCGGGAAACUGGGUCUAAUACCGGAUAUGACCUCGCACCGCAUGGUGCGGGGUGGAAAGAUUUAUCGGUGGGGGAUGGACUCGCGGCCUAUCAGCUUGUUGGUGAGGUAAUGGCUCACCAAGGCGACGACGGGUAGCCGGCCUGAGAGGGUGACCGGCCACACUGGGACUGAGACACGGCCCAGACUCCUACGGGAGGCAGCAGUGGGGAAUAUUGCACAGUGGGCGAAAGCCUGAUGCAGCGACGCCGCGUGAGGGAUGACGGCCUUCGGGUUGUAAACCUCUUUCAGUAGGGAAGAAGCGAAAGUGACGGUACCUGCAAAAGAAGCGCCGGCUAACUACGUGCCAGCAGCCGCGGUAAUACGUAGGGCGCAAGCGUUAUCCGGAUUUAUUGGGCGUAAAGAGCUCGUAGGCGGUUUGUCGCGUCUGCCGUGAAAGUCCGAGGCUCAACCUCGGAUCUGCGGUGGGUACGGGCAGACUAGAGUGAUGUAGGGGAGACUGGAAUUCCUGGUGUAGCGGUGAAAUGCGCAUAUAUCAGGAGGAACACCGAUGGCGAAGGCAGGUCUCUGGGCAUUUACUGACGCUGAGGAGCGAAAGCAUGGGGAGCGAACAGGAUUAGAUACCCUGGUAGUCCAUGCCGUAAACGUUGGGCACUAGGUGUGGGGGACAUUCCACGUUUUCCGCGCCGUAUCUAACGCAUUAAGUGCCCCGCCUGGGGAGUACGGCCGCAAGGCUAAAACUCAAAGGAAUUGACGGGGGCCCGCACAAGCGGCGGAGCAUGCGGAUUAAUUCGAUGC
rnacentral:rRNA from 1 species